CCACAGCCUUGUCACUAGCCGCUCGUUAGCUCCCCUCAAGCCACCUGCAAGCUGCUCGGUCCACUCGUAGGUUCAUGUCGGCGGAUCCCCGUCGAUUCACUCGACACAAACCAUGGCUGGCUGUGCAGUUCAUUGAACUAACAGACCGUCUCACAGCUCUGUUGUCAAGUUCUUCCGUUUUCCUCUAGGUGAUCCUGAGAGGCUAGACCUGUGGGUGAUCAACAUGAAGAGACCGAACUGGAUUCCGAGCCUCUGCAGUCAACACUUGAGAGACAACACUUGAGCAAUGACAAAAGGGUGACUCAGACAGCCUGCACCAGUGGAUGUCCAACAUGAGGAGACAGAACAGGACUCCAACAAGACUGAACACUAAGUUUCAUCACCUAAGCACUGACUCCAGGGACGGACGAGCCUGAAGGACUCAGCUGUGCUGACGGUGUUCUGUCUCUUAUGGGGAAUUAGAAAAAUAAAGCACUGGGUUUUUA